GCCUAGUUAGCUUAGUUGGUAGUGCGUCAGCCUUGUAAGCGCUAGGCCGCGGGUUCGAAUCCCGCCCGGGGCG
rfam:Asian citrus Psyllid, Diaphorina citri - Florida Strain, whole genome shotgun sequence.